ACAAGGAGGCGAUGCGAGUGAGUCAUUCAUCGAGGGUCUUAGAAAUUUUUGCAUCAAUUCCAUUCCUCAAGCUAAUGUUGAAGAGCAUAUAGAGAACAUGAGAUGGGUCCCAUAUCUUAAUGAGCCGAAUCAAAUGGAAAAUCGAUACAAUUUUAUUUAUAAAAAAAAGAUAAAGAAAUUCUAGUUAUAUAGAUAUAUGUUGAUGAUAUUAUAUUUGGGUCUACUAAUAAAGAUUUGUGCCAAAAAUUUAUCAAGCUUAUGCAGG
rnacentral:lncRNA from 1 species